AACGAACGCUGGCGGCGUGGAUAAGACAUGCAAGUCGAACGGGACUAUCGAAGUAGCAAUAUGACGGUAGUUCAGUGGCGAACGGGUGCGUAACACGUGGAUACAUUCCGGGAAGCGGGGGAUAGCCCAGGGAAACUUGGAUUAAUACCGCAUGUGAUCGAAAGAUCAAAGACGGGGACCGCAAGGCCUGUCACUUCCCGAUUGGUCCGCGGCCUAUCAGCUAGUUGGCGGGUAAAAGCCCACCAAGGCGACGACGGGUAGCUGGUCUGAGAGGACGGCCAGCCACACUGGAACUGAGACACGGUCCAGACACCUACGGGUGGCAGCAGUCGAGAAUCUUUCACAAUGGGGGCAACCCUGAUGGAGCGACGCCGCGUGGAGGAUAAGGUCUUCGGAUUGUAAACUCCUGUCAUGUGUGAACAAGGCAGCCAAGUUAAUAACUUGAGCUGAUUGAUGGUAACACAAGAGGAAGAGACGGCUAACUCUGUGCCAGCAGCCGCGGUAAUC
rnacentral:rRNA from 1 species